GAAAUGCGAUAAGUAAUGUGAAUUGCAGAAUUCAGUGAAUCAUCGAAUCUUUGAACGCACCUUGCGCUCCUUGGUAUUCCUUGGAGCAUGCCUGUUUGAGUAUCAUGAAAUCUUCAAAGUAAAUCUUUUGUUAACUCAAUUGGUUUCUACUUUGGUAUUGGAGGUCUUUGCAGCUUCACACCUGCUCCUCUUUGUUCAUUAGCUGGAUCUCAGUGUUAUGCUUGGUUCCACUCGGCGUGAUAAGUUAUCUAUCGCUGAGGACACUGUAAAAGGUGGCCAAGGUAAAUGCAGAUGAACCGCUUCUAAUAGUCCAUUGACUUGGACAAUACUUUUAUGAUCUGAUCUCAAAUCAUGUAGGACUACCCGCUGAACUUAAGC
rnacentral:misc_RNA from 1 species